ACAUCCAGAGAACUUAGCAGAGAUGCUUUGGUGCCUUCGGGAACUCUGAGACAGGUGCUGCAUGGCUGUCGUCAGCCCGUGUUGUGAAAUGUUGGGUUAAGUCCCGCAACGAGCGCAACCCUUAUCCUUUGUUGCCAGCGGCUCGGCCGGGAACUCAAAGGAGACUGCCGGUGAUAAACCGGAGGAAGGUGGGGAUGACGUCAAGUCAUCAUGGCCCUUACGGCCAGGGCUACACACGUGCUACAAUGGCGCAUACAAAGAGAAGCGACCUCGCGAGAGCAAGCGGACCUCACAAAGUGCGUCGUAGUCCGGAUUGGAGUCUGCAACUCGACUCCAUGAAGUCGGAAUCGCUAGUAAUCGUAGAUCAGAAUGCUACGGUGAAUACGUUCCCGGGCCUUGUACACACCGCCCGUCACACCAUGGGAGUGGGUUGCAAAAGAAGUAGGUAGCUUAACCUUCGGGAGGGCGCUUACCACUUUGUGAUUCAUGACUGGGGUGAAGUCGUAACAAGGUAGGCGUAGCGAG
rnacentral:rRNA from 1 species